UUGGGAAUAUUGCACAAUGGGGGAAACCCUGAUGCAGCAAUGCCGCGUGAAGGAAGAAGGAUUUCGGUCUGUAAACUUCUAUCGAUGGGGAAGAAAUAAAUGACGGUACCCAAGUAAGAAGCCCCGGCUAACUAUGUGCCAGCAGCCGCGGUAAUACAUAGGGGGCAAGCGUUAUCCGGAAUUACUGGGUGUAAAGGGUGCGUAGGCGGUUAGAAAAGUCAGAUGUGAAAAUCCGAAGCUUAACUUCGGAAAUGCAUUUGAAACUUUCUGACUAGAGUACAGGAGAGGUAAGUGGAAUUCCUAGUGUAGCGGUAAAAUGCGUAGAUAUUAGGAAGAACACCAGUGGCGAAGGCGACUUACUGGACUGAAACUGACGCUGAGGCACGAAAGCGUGGGGAGC
rnacentral:rRNA from 1 species